rnacentral:rRNA from 1 species
GAGUUUGAUCAUGGCUCAGGAUGAACGCUAGCGGCAGGCUUAACACAUGCAAGUCGAGGGGUAUAGUUCUUCGGAAUUAGAGACCGGCGCACGGGUGCGUAACGCGUAUGCAAUCUACCUUUCACAGAGGGAUAGCCCAGAGAAAUUUGGAUUAAUACCUCAUAGUAUAACGACUCCGCAUGGGGAUGUUAUUAAAGUCACAACGGUGAAAGAUGAGCAUGCGUCCCAUUAGCUAGUUGGUAAGGUAACGGCUUACCAAGGCUACGAUGGGUAGGGGUCCUGAGAGGGAGAUCCCCCACACUGGUACUGAGACACGGACCAGACUCCUACGGGAGGCAGCAGUGAGGAAUAUUGGACAAUGGGCGCAAGCCUGAUCCAGCCAUGCCGCGUGCAGGAUGACGGUCCUAUGGAUUGUAAACUGCUUUUGCACAGGAAGAAACAACGCUACGUGUAGCGUCUUGACGGUACUGUGAGAAUAAGGAUCGGCUAACUCCGUGCCAGCAGCCGCGGUAAUACGGAGGAUCCAAGCGUUAUCCGGAAUCAUUGGGUUUAAAGGGUCCGUAGGCGGUUUAGUAAGUCAGUGGUGAAAGCCCAUCGCUCAACGGUGGAACGGCCAUUGAUACUGCUAGACUUGAAUUAUUAGGAAGUACU